UGAUGUAUGGAGAAGACACCCACUGAUCUCCUACCUCGCCACCGUGCCUGCCCCACACAAGCCUGACUGUAGCUGUCAGAUCGAUCUUUCUAAACACAGAUCUGAAGGGCAUUCCCCAGUGCUGUUAGACUAACUCACAAGGCCCUGACGUGGCCUACACAUCCAUACGUGAUCCAGUGUCUGCCUUACUCUCUAAUCCCAUCUCUGUCCACUCCCCUCUCUAAAUAUCAGGGCCCUGGACAUAUCAUGCUGCUCCCUGUUUCUGAUGCAAGUUAUGCCUGUUAACACCUCCGUGCCUUUGCCCCAGGGCCGACAAACUUCAUCCUUCAUGUUAAUUCAAAGUCUUAGUUUGCUUUGGCUACUCUAACAGAAUCCCACAGACCGGAUGGUUUAAAUACCAAUUUAUUUCUCACAGUCUGAAGGCCAGAAGUCCAAGAUCAAGGUGCUGGCAAGGGAGGUUUCAUUCUGAGACUUCUUACGUUGGCUUGUAGGUGGCUGCCACCUUGCCAUGUGCUUACAUGAUGUGUGUGCCUGAGGAACGAGAGGGCCAGCUCUCUGAGGUCCAUACUCGGAAGGACCUAAUCCCAUUUGAUCAGGGUCCCACCAGUUCCUUUGUUAGAGGCCCAUCUUCAAAUACAACCACAUUUGGAGGUUAGGGCUUUAAUAUAUGAAUUUUGUGGGUAGGGGGGAACACAAACAUUUGGUCCAUAGGAUCCAACUAGGAGUGGCUGCCUGGAGAAAGGUGUUGAUAAGAAGUCUGAGGUCCUUCCUGGACUCCAUGAUAAAAAAAAAACACUAUGCUUGAUUCAUGAUGUCUGCCUUGGACUUGGCAGGAGAUAUUGGGGUGGCUUACAUACCAUAUGUUUUCUUCCCUUGUUUUAUGUGCUCAUCUUUGCUAGCCUCUCUUGGCCCCAGCACAAUCUCUGACACAUACCAGGCCCCUGACACAUUUUCAAUGAAUGAAUCAACAAGUGAGUAAUGGUCUCAAAGCACAUUGCAAAUGGACGGUUUCACUGAAGCUUCACAGAGGCUGUGAGGUAAAGCCGAACGGGCAGGUGGUUGGAAAUCUUUAAGGUGUUCGCCCUUCUCUCCCCUCACCCUGGGCUGGAGAUGCUGCAAUUGUCUUAGCAACUGCACGGAUGCCUCGACGGAUGUCUGUCAGGAUCACAGGUGACUUUUGCUGACACUGUCUCCCAGAGCCACUGAGACCUUUGCCCUUCUCACUUCCUUCUGCCCCUGCACCCCCAUUCACCCCAGUGCUGCACCCCCACCCUCUGGCCGCUGUCACUUUGAGAAGCACAUUGAUUCUGUGGUCACUCAGCCUGGUAGCAAGGGAGGGCCUCGCCUGCCUUCCUAUGGGACACAUGUUAACUGGUGCUGUGAUGCAGGAGUCACAAGCAGGCGUGGGCGUGUGUGAUGGGGAGAGAGGUGUCGUGAUUAAAGGGGAAAUGUACUCAUGUCUCAAGUGCUCCUGUUGGAAUGCAGCUCAUGAAGACGAGUGUGUGUCUAAAUGUAUAUACCUGGGCCCGCUUCUUCCCCUGCUCUCGCGCUCAGCCACACUGCCUCGACCAGCCAUUGGGUCUGUCUCUGCCAACCCAGCCAUGUGCCCUGUGGCCGAACCUCUUGUAGAGCACUGUAGAUGGACAUCCUGCCCCAGCCCCCCUCCUGCUCUGGGCCUGCUGUAGCCUCCCCCACCGGGCCCUCAUUCUCAGCCAGUGCAGUGCCUACCUGUGUAAGAUGUGAUCCUGCUUUAAGGAGCUCGUGGCCCAUAUCAGUGGCAGGACGCUUGGGACCAGCUGUGUGUUGGGAGGAGCGGAGGCCAUGUCCAGUCUGCUGGACAGGGAGGGCAGGUGAGCAGGCCUAGGGCCGUGUGGCUGGGUAUCCCCCUGUUCGCCUGCAGUGGAGGGAGGGAGCAGGGGGCAGAGGGAAGGAGACCAGCCUGGGAGGGGUCGUUUGGAUUAUACAGGACAGCAGAGAUGGCACCAAGAGCCUGCUCUCUGGAGCUUGCAACCUGGAGAACAGAGCAAGGACUUCCUGCCGCUGGUUCACUUGGGGUUCUGUCUCCUCAGCUGUGGACACUGUCUCACAUAGUAACUGCUGAGAGAAAAAGGACCCAAGGGGCCCAGGGCUCAGCACUCAACCUGGCCUCGCCUCCACAGAGUUUCCCAAGGUUGGAUAAUGCCUGUGAUCAUUUCCCAGGACUCUGGCAAGCCUUCCCAGGAGAACCAUCUGAAGGGCACUGGCCUUUCCACUUCCUCUCUGUCAUCCUGGAGGCCCCACUAGUCCAGCCAAAAAGGCCAUUGAGCCCCGGGAGUGGAGUCACAGAGAGGUGAGGGUGUCCUUGGCUCUGCCUAUGCUCUGAGCCCAGUGCUCUCUGAAGUACCCUGGGAAGUAGCCAGUCUCUACUCCCACCCUUUGGCCAGCCCUAGUUCCAUGAGAAGAAUCCUAGGUGGUUCACUCUCUAUGGGGCUCCUUCCUCCCCAGCAAAGUUGUUGAAUAUUUAUUGCACAGUAAAUUGAGUCUUUGUAUCUCCACUGCUGCCCAUUAUGUGCAGUCCACAGUGGGCUCUCUGCACGAUCUGACCUCUACGUCUCUCCCACUCUGACCUGAUUCAUAUCAUAGUCCUCACCGUGCCCUCCUUUGGCCAUACUAACUUCAUUGUGCCUGUAGUUCCAACCUCUUUCUUACCUCUAGGCUUGGCCAGUGUAAUUUCCUUUUCCCCAGCUCUUCACCUGAGUGAUUUCUGCUCAUUUCUCAGGUCUUUGCAUAAAAUACUCUCUUUCAGGGAAAGCUUCCCGGAAAUUUGAUAGUGAGCUGCAGAACAGACUAGGCUAGAGAGACCAGAGACUGGGAAGUCUGUCCUAGGCUAAGACCUCAUGGUCAAAGCCCAAAGUGGGAUGUGCAUAAGCCAAACUGGAAAAGGAAAGGAAAAGACAGAUUCUCGUGACCAAUCCAACAAAUUUGGGAGUGAAAAAUACAGAGAAGUUGACAAUAUAAAAAUAUGCUGUGUCCACAACCUGUGUGAAGCUUACUUUUAGGCGUUUGUGUCCUAGGAAAGAGAGAGGCCCUAACUGAUUUGGCAGCAAAUUUCUAACUAACACUUUUAUGUGGGUCCCAUCCUCCCAAGAAAAUGGAGAGUCUCUUGCAAGAGAAGUAUCUCUUCUCAUUGCACAUGCAUUCCUUUUUACUUCUAGCAGAAUUCUGGCUGUCUUCUCAGUUCUGGGCCUCAAAUUUAUAAUGCUUAUCUCAAAGAGCUUCUAGUUCUUCAACCGUUUUCUGCAGGAGCCAGAGUGGGGGGUGGGGACAAGGAGACAAAGCCAUCUUUUCCCCCUUGAUCUUACUGUAUCAUGAGUCCCAGCAGGAGAGAGAUGGCAUUUCAGUGUUACCUUACUGCUCUGUUACUGGAGAGAAUAUAAUGAAUGGACUGUUUAUAAAGAUGUGGGCAGGAUGGAAGGCAUCAGGCAAGGGAAUGGUGCAGCACCUCCAGGACCUAACUGUGCAGUGCCAUCAGCUCAGGAAGCUUGAAAACACAAGAGAGGAAGUGAUUAUAAGAACCCAACGAGGGCUGUAGAUGAAGGAGGGGGUUGCUGUGGCCUACCUGCAGGAAACAACCAGCCACACCAUGGCCCACCCAUCCCCCACGGGCAAGGAACUAGAAUAAUAAACACCCUGCCGCUCUUUCCUCCUGCCCUCCUGUUUCCUGCUGGCGUCCACUGUGGCCUCAGGUCGACCAGAACUGAGAAGGCGAGGAAGCUCCAUUGGCACAGUUUAUACAGCUUUGGCCCCAGGGACAGGGCAUGGUGGAAGAGAAAGAGGAGCAGAACUGGAGAGACCAACAGAACAUCCAGCACGCAAACACGGAGUGCCAGGUGAACAAUUCUCCAGGAGGACAGAAAUCCGGCAAUGUGGAUGUGAAGACGCAGGAUCCAGCCAGGGCAGGAGAGAAGGACCCAUUCCAGACAUGCCUGAUUCCACGCAUCAUCCCUUCUGUCUACCUUGUGGCGGGUUGGUCCCCCAGGACACAGACUCUGAGCCAGGCUACACGGAUCAAAGGCCACUGACCAGCCCAGGGACUGGCUGUGUUUGGGACCCUUCAAGAGUAUCAGCUAGUCUCUUCGAGUCAUGAUCUCCCUACAAGGUGAACCAUUGGGGAAAUACAUGUCACAAAGUGUCAUCUCAGACCACCUGCAGGACACGGCCUCCAGGCUAACUGGGAGCCACGCUGGAUGGGAGGAACUUUGCAUCCUGCUGUGAGCAUCACCGGUGAGCACACAAAUUAUGUAGCCGACCCUGACCCGAAGCAGCACCUGAGAAGUGUCACUGGGACCAGGCAGGAACCUCCACACUAUUUUCCAGAGUGGCUGCACCCGUUUGCAUUCCCACCAGCAGUGCAAGAGGGUUCUCGUUUCUCCAUAUCCUCGCCAACAUCUGUUGUUUCCUGAGUUGUUCAUUUUAGCCACUCUGACAGAUGUGAGGUGGUAGGUAUCUCCUUGUGGUUUUGAUUUGUAUUUCCCUGGUAAUAAGUGCAGAACAGGCUUUUUAUAUUAGCUCUUUUGAGGUAUAUUUUAUAGGCAAUAAAACUCACCAAUUUAAAGUAUACAAUUGGGUGAAUUUUGACAAAUGUAUACAGUUGUGUAACCACCACCACAAUCAUGAUAAAACAUAUUUCUAUCACCCCAAAAUGUUCUUUAUGCUUCUUUGGAACCAAUCACCAUUCCCCUACUUUUGGCCCCUGGAAAGCACAGAUCUGCUUUCUAUCAUUAUAGUUUUGCCUUCUCUAGAAUGUCACAUAAAUAUUAUCAUACAGUACGUAGCCUUUGCAUUUAGUUUCUUACACUUAGCAUCACACACUUUCAGAUGUGUAUGUUUCAGUCAUUCAUUCUUUUUUUCUUUUAUUGCUGAGUAGCAUUCCAUUGUAUUGGUAUACCACAAUCUGCUUAUCCACUCACCUACUGAUGGACAUUUGGGUUGUUUCCAGUUUCUAGAACUGAAAUCCCAAAUGCAACAUAGGGGUGGCAUGGAGUAAGAUUUGGAGACUUGAAGGAAGCACUAAUCUCUGUAUUAAUCCUUAUCUUUUUUGGGGGGAAGACAUAUAUCUACACCACAGAUCAGCAAAUGUAUUCAAUAAAGGGCCAAUUGCAAAUAUUUUAGGCUUUGCCAUUGUAGCUAUAGACAAUAUGUAAGCAAAAAAAUGUGGCUGUGUUCCAAUAAAACUUCACUUAGGGAUGCUGAAAUUUGAAUUAUAGAAGUUCCAUGUGUCACAAAAUAUUUUUCUUCUUUUGAUUUUUUUUUCAGCUACUUAAAAACAUAAAAAUUAUUCUUAGCCUGCAGGAGGUACAAAGGUGGAUGGUGGGUUGGAUUUGGCACACAGGCCACAGUUUGCGAACUUCUGAUCUGAAUUUAUUCAAAAUACUUUAGAAAAUUAUGUUUAAGUAUGUCUUAAAAAUUUAAUGGUAACCACCAAAAAAGUAGAAAUAAAAUGUAUAAUUUCUAACCCACAAUACAAAAAACAAUGGAGGGGCGCCUGGGUGGUUCAGUCAGUUAAACGUCCCAUUCGUGGUUUCAGCUCAGGUCAUGAUCUCAUGGUUUGUGGGUUCGAGUCCCAUUUUGGUCUCCAUGCUGAUGGUGCAGAACCUGCUCGGGAUUCCCUCUCUCUCUCCUUCUCUCUCUGCCCCUCCCCUCCUCUCUCUCUCUCUCUCUCUCUCUCAAAAUGAAUAAUAAAAAAUUAUUUAAAAAUACAAAUACAAAUAAGGAAAAACAGUAGAAUACAGAAAAACUGAUCAACUGAAGAAAAGAUGGAAACGAAAAAGAGAAGAAAGUAUGCUGGAGAACAUAAAAACAGCAGGACAAGGAUAAGUCUGGUUUUAUAAGUAAUCAGAGUACCCACGAAUAGGUUAAAUUAGGCCAUUACAAGACCUAUAUUUUCAGUUUAAGUUAAUAAAAAGAAAAAAAUUAUGUUAUAUCUUAUUUCCAAAAAGUAUAUCUAAAGAAAAUUGUGCAGAAAGUUUGAAAACAAAGGUAGAGGGAAAUAGACACCUCCUAAAUAGGUAUCAUAUGUUACAUAAUAGCUAUAAAAUCCAAAACAAUAAUUUAAAAAACAUCACACCCAUUAGGAUGGCAACUAUAAACAAAACACACAAAAUAGAAACCAGCAAGUGUCAGCAAGGAUGGGGAGAAAUUGGAGCUCCUGUGCACUGUUAGUGGGAAUGGAAAAUGGUGUAGCCACUAUGGAAAAUAGGAUGAUGCUUUCUCAAAGAACUAAAAACAGAAUUACCAUAUGAUCUGGCAAUUCCACCUCUAGGUACACACCCCAAAGAAUUGAAAGCAGGGACUCAAGGAGAUAUUUGUACACCCAUGUUCAUAGCAGCAUUAUUCACGGCAAUAGGAAAUAGCUCAAAGGAAAGCAGCUCAAAUGCCUAUCAGCAGAUGAUAAGAUAAACAACACAAGGUAGUCUGUACACACAGUGGAACGUGAUUAAGCCUUGAAAAGAAGGAAAUUCUGUCACCUGCAACAACACAGAUGAAACUUGAGGACAUUAUGUGGGUGAAAUAAACCAGUCACAAAAGGAUGAAUAUUGUAUGAUUCCACUUACAUGAGGAUCGUAGAAUAAUCGGGUUCACAGAGACAGAAAGUUGAGGGGCAAUUGCUGGGGCGGGCAGGGAGGAAAGAGGAAUGGCGAGUUGUUACUUAAUGUGUAGAGUUUCAGUUUUACAGAGAAGAGCUCUGUGGGCGGAAGGCAGGGAUGGUUGCACCACAGUGUGAUGUACUUAAGGCCAUAGAACUGUACACUUAAAAAUGGUUAAAGUGGCAAACUUUAUGUUAUGUGCAUUUUACCAAAAUUAAAAAAAAAUAAAAUAGAAAGCAUUACAGUAAACAUGGAUUAGUUCAUACUGAUAAAAGCUACAGUCUACUAAAAAGAUAUACAGUCGUUUGCUUCAGUGCAAGGCACAAUAGAGUUCUGAAAUGUACCUAAUAUGUAUAAAUAACACAUUGUCCCCAGUGGAGCGAGGACUCAUUUCUUCCAGGCACCCAUGGCCCUUUUACAAAUUAGUCAUGUAUCUGACCACAAAGGGAAUCCCAGUAAAUUCCAAAAAGCACACAAAUCUGAUUAUUUUGUCACUCUGCAAUAAAGUUAGAAAUUAAGAUGCAAAACAAAACACAAGAAGUAGCAAAAUAAAAAUCUUCUCACUGGAAAAUUUAAAGCCUCUUUUAAAGUAACUCC